rnacentral:rRNA from 1 species
UACGUAGGGGGCUAGCGUUAUCCGGAAUUACUGGGGCGUAAAGGGUGCGUAGGUGGUUUCUUAAGUCAGAGGUGAAAGGCUACGGCUCAACCGUAGUAAGCCUUUGAAACUGGGAAACUUGAGUGCAGGAGAGGAGAGUGGAAUUCCUAGUGUAGCGGUGAAAUGCGUAGAUAUUAGGAGGAACACCAGUUGCGAAGGCGGCUCUCUGGACUGUAACUGACACUGAGGCACGAAAGCGUGGGGAGCAAACAGGAUUAGAUACCCCGGUAGUCCCUGAGCGGGCU